rnacentral:rRNA from 1 species
GACGAACGCUGGCGGCGUGCUUAACACAUGCAAGUCGAACGGAAAGGCCCUGCUUUUGUGGGGUGCUCGAGUGGCGAACGGGUGAGUAACACGUGAGUAACCUGCCCUUGACUUUGGGAUAACUUCAGGAAACUGGGGCUAAUACCGGAUAGGAGCUCCUGCUGCAUGGUGGGGGUUGGAAAGUUUCGGCGGUUGGGGAUGGACUCGCGGCUUAUCAGCUUGUUGGUGGGGUAGUGGCUUACCAAGGCUUUGACGGGUAGCCGGCCUGAGAGGGUGACCGGCAACAUGGGGACUGAGAUACGGCACAGACUCCUACGGGAGGAAGCAGUGGGGAAUAUUGCAAAAUGGGCGGAAGCCUGAUGCAGCAACGCCGCGGGCGGGAUGACGGCCUUCGGGCUGUAAACCGCUUUCGCCUGUGACGAAGCGUGAGUGACGGUAAUGGGUAAAGAAGCACCGGCUAACUAC